UCUGCACUGGGAAGAUAAGAUCUCCCGUCCUUUGGCAUUAGAGUAGUAUUGAGGUAUUUUGGCCUUGCUGUGGGCAUCUUUUUGCAGUUGGGAAGAAAUUUUCCUUUACAAACAAAUUGGCCUGGGCACAUGGAAUUUUUCUACCUUCUUUUCAGCAACCCAGGGAUCCAGUGGAAAGAUGCUGCUAAGGAACUGAAGAAUUAAAUGACUGCAGGGUGCACUGAAGUGAAUGGAGGUUUUGACAUUAACUCAACUGGGGCCAGGAUUUUACUCUCAGUGUCUGGGUGACAAAGAAACAACGCUUCAAAGACCAACAUCAUCAAAUUGAAGCAAUGUUAAUUUUGUGUCCAUAGUUUGCCUGACAGCCAUAUGAUCUAACAAGAAACGAACAUGCAUUAAUAAAGAUUCUGAUAUGUUUCCUU